rnacentral:rRNA from 1 species
CCUACGGGAGGCAGCAGUGGGGAAUAUUGCACAAUGGGGGAAACCCUGAUGCAGCGACGCCGCGUGAGUGAAGAAGGAUUUCGGUAUGUAAAGCUCUAUCAGCAGGGAAGAAAAUGACGGUACCUGACUACGAAGCCCCGGCUCACUACGUGCCGGCAGCCGCGGUAAUACGUCGGGGGCAAGCGUUAUCCGGAUUUACUGGGUGUAAAGGGGGCGUAGACGGCAGUGAAAGUCUGAAGUGAAAGCCCGCGGCCCAACUGCGGGACUGCCGUGGAAACUGCCGGGCGAGAGUGCUGGAGAGGUAAGCGGAAUGCCUAGUGUAGCGGUGAAAUGCGUAGAUAUUAGGAGGAACACCAGUGGCGAAGGCGGCUUACUGGACAGUAACUGACGUUGAGGCUCGAAAGCGUGGGGAGCAAACAGGAUUAGAUACCCGGGUAGUC